AGAUCUAAAACUCGCAAGAAGGUCAAGGAAUAACUUAUUACGAGCUGGAACUUUACUGGCAGUGCUCAGUAGUCAGAUUAAAUGGAACACGCUGUACAACACAGAGAGGAAGUGUUUCUACUCUGUUACUGUUACUUAUUACUCAGUAUGUCAUCCAGAGGGCACCCUAGUGCACAAGGAACAUACAGAAGGCUUACGUGUGCAGAGGACAUGAUUACAUCAGGGCACUGAGAAGGCCACGAAAGAUCAAGUACUCUUCUCUCAAACAGUGCACCUGACUGCAGCCUUGUAGAUCCUCCCAACCUUCUGAUAAAUUAGAGUUAGGUAAAACUCUCUAUGCCCUAGUUUGCAUUUGUCUAGCAUGUGUAUAAAAUUGAGGAACACGAAUGAGAAGGAACAGUAUGGUUCUGAGGAAAAUUAUGUGCUUUAUAUAGUAUUUCCUCUUACCAGUGUUCCUGUUCCUAUUACCUCACAGUCACUUUUAUGUUCUCCCAUAAACCCUUGAAUCCUGUUGAUUUCACUGUGUACUUCAGUGGCAUUUGCCUUUUCCAGUACACUUUGUUGCAUAGAGGCAUAGUUGUUAUUGUAGUAAGAUUUACUUAUUAUAUUAUUCUGGGAACGAGGGCUCAGUGAGGGUGGCAUUCAUGCAGAAGUGAGGUGAGAUUCUGGUCAAUUUACACCACUGUGGGCAGAAUGGUGUAACAGACUGAACUAGCCAGCUAGUAGGCUAUCCAGUCACUUGUCUUUAUAUCAGAACUGUCAUUGAAGUCCAAGAUUCAAUAUCUAAAAUACAAGGAAGAACAAAUAAGCCUUAGAAGGCCCUCCAGGUUAAUCUUUUUUAGCAAAUUAAAAAACCUAUAGAGCAUGGAUCCACGCCAAAGUAAACCACCACUGACUGGAUCAGAUUUGAAAACGCUCAAUCAAGGUCAUUGGCAUGGCGGUAGUCAGUAAUGGCCUCACUUGGUUGCAGCACACUCACACUCACUCCUGUUCCUAAAUUGCACAUUUCCUGCCUUUCAUCAUCCACACGAGCAGGAGAUAAUAUGACCCUUUUUAUUCAUAACUACAUGACAUUUUUAAUAAACAAUUAUAUUGAUAUGAUAUAUCCAGAUUAGUCAAAUUAAUAUGUAUUUGGAAAAUAUGUAUUUCAGUAGCAAACAUGUUCUACUUCUUCUUCUUCCUGUCUUUCAGCCAUGUCCAAAACAAGGUUGCAACUGUACCUAAUCCCUUCAAAUAACAUCAUUUCAGAGAGGUUGAAGAGGUUGCUCUUGUACAUAUGCAGACUAAGUGGCACCUAAUAUUCUAAGUUACACACACGCAGAAACACAGAAAAGCCAUGUUCCUGCUUACAUAAGUACAUGAUUCAUAUAAGGUAAUUAACAAUACAAGGCACUUGAUUAUUAUAUUCUUAAGUCAUUAACUGUGUUUGGAAAUUAUCUCCAUCAGUCCCUCCUUUUAUCCGUUUCAAUGGAUAAUUCAAAAUCACAAUAAAAAUCACAAUUCAAAUCAAAAUCACAAAUCAUCUUUCUUAAUUCGUCAAUUAUCAAUUUCAAUGGAUAACCUCAAAAUCAUCACUCUGAGCUUCAUCACAUGGAUUUUCGGAACAGAGAUCAUUACUGUGCAUCACUCCAUAUCAUCAUAAGUCAAUCAUUUAAAAUGUCAUCAUAUUUCUCAUCACACAUUUGAAUACUUUGCAUUUGUAGGCCAACAUAGUGGGUGUCGACUGUGUUUGUGUCAUUAGCUCGCCUAGGCUUCAGAUAACAUUCAAACAAGGUUUCUUUGCUGUGUCCUUGAAGGCCCUGUUCCCCAUCAGGCAUUCUGCAGAACACAUCGGCUGUUGAAUAUUACUGGACAGGAAAAUGUAAACAGUCUCUUUGUUGAAAGUGUGUUUGGGCAGUCUGGUUCCCAUCACGGAUGAUCUUUGGCCAGGCCCCAUCGCGGAUAUUUGUCCAGGGCCGGUGUUUGCCGUCUCAUCCAUAAGCUGGUCUUCUGUCACAGUGGGCACACCCUGGAAACAGCAAAGAAAGAUGAUCUUUAUUCCUCUGCCUCAGCCGUGUGCAGGCUUACCCGUUUGCAUUGAGCCAGAAGUAUCCACGUGGCUCUCAGCUAUUUUGACUGCGGUAGGUGUUGACAGUAGCACUUGUUAUGGUCUGUCCCACUUGGGCGAAUGGCAGUGUUUUCUUUUGAGGCUGUUGAUUAGGACACAAUCUCUUGGCCCAACCUUGAAUUCAGCCUCACAGUGUUCCUGUGUAGGGGAGAGAAGUCUGAGAGCAUUUAGUUUCGACAUCAUCUUUGCCAUAUAUUCUGCAAAUGUAUAUUCAAUCUCUUUGUCUGUUUCAGCAAAUAGUUUGAGUGCUGAGGCAGUGUAGAUUCUUCCAUACAUCAUUUCAAACAGUGAUAACAACAUGCAUGCUUAAUUUCACUAAUUUCACUCUUGGAUUCUCAAUUAACUUUUAAUAGUUUGGUUAAUUCUUUUCUACCAGUCCGGCUGACUGGGGGUUGUAUGAACAGUGAUUGUCUAUGGCUAGACAAUAUUUCUUUCUUUCGUUGGGAUUUAACUCAAUAAAAUCAAUAAUGAAUUAUUAAACAUCUUUCUCAUGAAAUAUAAAUAAGAAGUACAAAUAUAUGCUUACUAUCCCCACUUAUUGAGGCAUGUUUUUACCAUGGCUCAAUAUUACAGCAUAUCUUUUAGUAUUGUGAGAUCUAAUUCUUCAAUUGUGUACGUGUCAGAUGGUUGUUGUAGUUUGGCCUGGUUAGUGGCCUUGUCUUCUUUGUGGUUUCCCAAUGAAACCGGGUCUUUGCAUGUGUGUAUGCGCAAUCAGGGAAAUCAGUUCUGCUGCUUGUGCGGAAUAGUGUGGAAGUAGUGGCUAUGUGUUCAAGGUUUAUUUGCUUGAACCAUCAACAAACAAUAGUUAAAUCAGCUUCUGGAAAAGGCAUAUCUCGUAGGUCAGCUCUGGCUGCCAUAGUUUUUAUCUGUCUUCUGCCGUAAGGAAAAGGGUAACUGGGUUAAAUGUCACGCAGCGCUCAAUAUUGAUAUGAGGCUGAGUGAGCAAAAAAAAAAUGUAAAAGAAAUAAGCAUGUAGAACUUUCAGUGUAAGUGUCUGUUUAGUACAAUAGGAGCAGAGGCCUGCACCGCCAAGGCUGCAGCCACUACUGCUUGUAAACAUUCAGACAUUGCUUGGGCUACUGGAUCUAGCCGUGUUGACUAGUAUGCCACUGGUAUCAACUUUAAGUCCCCACUUAUGCAUUAACACAGAACCAUUUUAUUUAUUUAUUUAUUUAUUUUAAUCUACAGUUUGUACGAAUGGCUUGUACCCAUGGAUGUGCUAAGACAUAAUGUAUUUCUUUGUCUGUGGCUGAGGUGCUUUUUUAAAGAUAGCUUUACUUUACUGGACCACAGCUGCUAAUUUUGUGGCCUUGUUUCUGCUAAAAAUCUUAACAACGCCAGGGUAUGUUGUUUACAGGUCUUCUUAUCUGGAGGAACAGCAUAUUCUUUUGAGGCAGCACUCAACCCCCACCCAGCCUGUGUCCAAUGCAUCAGUCUAGGUUGAUGUAGUUAGUGUGAUAGGCUUCAAUUUCUCUUUAAAUCUUGUUUGGGCUAAACAGUGUAUAUUCUAUACAUAGUAAUAUUUUGGGACACCAUUUCUUUGACACACCAUUGUUUAAUUUAUUCUAAAACCCAUGUAUUGUUGGAACAAUUCUAAUGCCCAACCCAUAUCACAUCUCUUCCUAAUGUUUUUGCAACAUAAUCUGUAUUUUUUAAAUAUCUCUCCUGUUUUCAGAGUCUGCUUUUAGAUGUCUCUUUCUUCUUACAACCUCACUGUUCUGGGCAUCUAAUUCAAGUAAUCAGAGUCACACAAAACAAAACAAAACAAAAAAUCAUUGGCUUUCUUGCCACCAUUAACGUUUGGCGCCAAGGGCGUCAGCAGCAUUUUGAGAGUGGGGGGGACAUAUUUCAGUGGGGGGUCUGGGGGUUCUCCCCCAGAAAAUUUUGAAAGAUGUAGAUGCAAUUUCCCGUAUUCUGGUGCACUUACCAUGUUUUUAGAUAAAAAAUUAUCUCUCUUUGAUUGUUUUUCCUUGGAGUCGGCAUGGUCUGCAAUUACUGACUACUAUUAUGUUCUGGU
ensembl:lncRNA